UGCAGCAUUUAUAUAUUCCAGCAUAUGGUAAACUCUCAGCCUUGGACCUGAUCCUAUGAAUGUUAAAAAAUUAAAUAAAUAAAGACGUCUUGGUGCAUUACACAGUCCUACCUCCAUAAGCCGGAGGGCGGUGUUAGACCACAUUUGGUCCGUCCAACGACGUGUCUAAUUUUCUAACACGUGACAGUCAUUUGACAUCAUGAUUUGAUGAUUCAAAAAAUGUGACCC
rnacentral:lncRNA from 1 species